UAGUAGUCACAGGAGGUUGUCUGAAAAGAGUGGUCCCAUGGAGGGGCUGCAAGCUUGUGAGCUCAGGCCUGGCCACUGCUUGUCCCACCCCCACUCCUCUGUCACCGGGCACAAAGAAAGAGCAGAUGAAUGGCUUGUUGGGCAUCAGAGAGGAAGUCAUCAAGAAAGGGAAAGCACACAACAUUUGUUGUUCAGGACAAUGUCUGGCACAUAGAAAGCACAUGAUGAAUCAUUACACCCUUUCCUGAUAAAGAAGAAUGCUUCCAAUGCACAAAAUAAGACCGGGAGGGUCACAGAGACAUCUAUUAUGCAGAGAUACUGCUAUCAACAGAUUUCCUCUAGUGCGUUUGUGAUCAAGUCAUAACCAUCCUCCGUUGUUAAUCCUCUGACGAAACCCAGCAGCAGGUGCGACGCUGAGGAGCCAGGACUACAGAUGGUGAUGUGGGACUCGUGCAGCCACUGGGCCCUGGAGGGAAGGGGACCUGGGAUUUCCACUGGAGCCGCAGGCCCUGCUGCCCUUUGCCACCUACAUUCCUACUAGAGGGACUCCUGCUUUCACUUAGUGGUUAAUGACAAGGGUAUGUUUGUGUCCUAUCCAAAUCCACACACGCCCCUGAUUUCUACCCAUGGACUUCAGGUUAAAAAGUACCGGGUGAGUGAAGGCAAGUCAGAGGUAAACUGUAGAGUGCAGUGCCCCGUGAAUGUUGUUAGUCCUGGAGGGAUGUGGGUGCCUCUGGGAUGGGCAAGGGAGGUGGAGAAAACAGGCUAAAUCUGGCUUAUUUGCUGGCAAAC